GCUGUCUUUACCUGUCCUGCUUUAUUCAUGCAUGCAACCUGUCAGGCACUUAAGUGGAGCCAGGCCAGGGCUAGGGUGGCUCAAGCCCCGCCAGUUUUCCUGCAGCCAUUGAAUCCAGGCCAUAUGUGCCCUCUCAGAAAGGAUGCUGAGUUCAGGAGGCUGUGCAAGCCUCAGCCAAAGCCAGCAGGCAGGAGUGCUUCUCUCAGCUCUUGAAGGAUGAGGAGGUAAGUACAGUGUCUGCUCGUCUAUCUUCCUUUUCACUUUGUGUAUGUUCUGAGAUCCCAUCUGGCCGGUCACUUACUCAGCAGGGUGGGCUGGUGGGGACCCAGCUGGUAUGAGCUUUUGGUUGACGAGCCUAAUGUCAAGAGUUCGACACCUGCAGUGAAAAGUACACAGACUUUACAGUCAGACACAUCUGAGUCAAAUCCUGGCUUCUACCAUGUUCUUGUUGUGUCACUCUAGCCAAAUCAGUUUAUUCUCUGGACCUCAGUCCUCUCAUCUGUAAAAUGGACCCACAAUUACUACUUCUGCAGAUUGUGACUGUUCAUUGAAAUAAUACAUGUAAAGUAUUUU
rnacentral:lncRNA from 1 species